AUACGUAGGGCGCAAGCGUUGUCCGGAAUUAUUGGGCGUAAAGAGCUCGUAGGUGGCUGGUCGCGUCUGCCGUGAAAGCCCAUGGCUUAACUGUGGGUCUGCGGUGGAUACGGGCAGGCUAGAGGUAGGUAGGGGCAAGCGGAAUUCCUGGUGUAGCGGUGCAAUGCGCAGAUAUCAGGAGGAACACCGGUGGCGAAGGCGGCUUGCUGGGCCUUACCUGACGCUGAGUAGCGAAAGCGCGGGGAGCGAACAGGAUUAGAUACCCUGGUAGUCCACGCUGUAAACGUUGGGCGCUAGGUGCGGGGUCCUUCCACGGGUUCCGUGCCGUAGCUAACGCAUUAAGCGCCCCGCCUGGGGAGUACGGCCGCAAGGCUAAA
rnacentral:rRNA from 1 species